rnacentral:rRNA from 1 species
AUUGAACGCUGGUGGCAGGCCUAACACAUGCAAGUCGAACGAGUGGCGGACGGGUGAGUAAUGUAUGGGAAACUGCCUGAUGGAGGGGGAUAAAUACUGGAAAAGGUAGAUAAUACCGCAUAGCAUCAGAUGUGCCCAGAUUGGAUUAGCGAGUAGGUGGGGGAAUGGAUCACAUAGGCGACGAUCCCUAGCUGGUCUGAGAGGGUGACCAGCCACACUGGAACUGAGACACGUUCCAGACUCCUACGGGAGGCAGCAGUGGGGAAUAUUGCACAAGGGGCGCAAGCCUGAUGCAGCCAUGCCGCGUGUGUGAAGAAGGCCUUCGGGUUGUAAAGCACUUUCGGCGAGGAGGCGUUACUCGCAGAAGAAGCACCGGCUAACUCCGUGCCAGCAGCCGCGGUAAUUC